AUACGGAGGGUGCAAGCGUUAUUCGGAAUCACUGGGCGUAAAGGACGCGUAGGCGGGUUGGCAAGUCAGAUGUGAAAUCCUACAGCUUAACUGUAGAACUGCAUUUGAAACUGCUAACCUAGAGUAUGUGAGGGGGAGAUGGAAUUAGUGGUGUAGGGGUAAAAUCCGUAGAUAUCACUAGGAAUACCGAAAGCGAAGGCGAUCUCCUGGAACAUAACUGACGCUAAGGCGUGAAAGCGUGGGGAGCAAACAGGAUUAGAAACCCUUGUAGUCC
rnacentral:rRNA from 1 species